UGGGGAAUUUUGGACAAUGGGCGCAAGCCUGAUCCAGCAAUGCCGCGUGCAGGAUGAAGGCCUUCGGGUUGUAAACUGCUUUUGUACGGAACGAAAAGGCUCUGGCUAAUACCUGGGGCACAUGACGGUACCGUAAGAAUAAGCACCGGCUAACUACGUGCCAGCAGCCGCGGUAAUACGUAGGGUGCGAGCGUUAAUCGGAAUUACUGGGCGUAAAGCGUGCGCAGGCGGUUUUGUAAGACAGAGGUGAAAUCCCCGGGCUCAACCUGGGAACUGCCUUUGUGACUGCAAGGCUGGAGUGCGGCAGAGGGGGAUGGAAUUCCGCGUGUAGCAGUGAAAUGCGUAGAUAUGGCGGAGGAACACCGAUGGCGAAGGCAAUCCCCUGGGCCUGCACUGACGCUCAUGCACGAAAGCGUGGGGAGCAAACAGGAUUAGAUACCCCUGGUAGUCCACGCCCUAAAGNGAUGUCAACUGGCUUGUUGGGGUCUUAAUUGACUCAGUAAACCGAAGCUAACGCGUGAAGUCGACCGCCUGGGGAGUACGCCGCAAGGUUGAA
rnacentral:rRNA from 1 species